AACUGCGGAGGGAUCAUUACUGAGUUACCGCUCUAUAACCCUUUGUGAACAUACCUACAACUGUUGCUUCGGCGGGUAGGCCGUCCCCUGAAAAGGACGCCUCCCGGCCCGGACCGGACCCCCCGCGGGACCGGACCCGGCGCCCGCCGGAGGAUAACCAAACUCUAUUGUAACGACGUUUCUUCUGAGUGGCAUAAGCAAAAUAAUCAAAACUUUUAACAACGGAUCUCUUGGUUCUGGCAUCGAUGAAGAACGCAGCGAAAUGCGAUAAGUAAUGUGAAUUGCAGAAUUCAGUGAAUCAUCGAAUCUUUGAACGCACAUUGCGCCCGCCAGCAUUCUGGCGGGCAUGCCUGUUCGAGCGUCAUUUCAACCCUCAAGCUCUGCUUGGUGUUGGGGCUCUACGGUCGACGUAGGCCCUCAAAGGUAGUGGCGGACCCUCCCGGAGCCUCCUUUGCGUAGUAACAUUUCGUCUCGCACUGGGAUCCGGAGGGACUCUUGCCGUAAAACCCCCCAAUUUUCCAAAGGUUGACCUCGGAUCAGGUAGGAAUACCCGCUGAACUUAAGCAUAUCAUA
rnacentral:rRNA from 1 species